ACUGGGCAUGGUGGCGCAUGCCUAUAGUCCCAGUGGCUCGGGAGGCUGAGGCAGGAGGAUUGCAAGUUCCAGGACAGCCUUAAUAACUUAGCAAGGCCCUAAGCAACUUAGCGAGAUCUUGUCUCAA
rnacentral:sRNA from 1 species